CGGGAAAUAGCUCAGCUUGGUAGAGCGCUACGUUCGGGACGUAGAGGUCGCAGGUUCGAAUCCUGUUUUCCCGAUCA
rnacentral:tRNA from 1 species